GAGGGCGGGCCAAUGAGGUCGGCGCCCGCCGACGGUCUGCCGGAGACCCGUGCCCGCCCAGGGCCGUCCGCGUGACCGCCCGGAACAGGAGCGCUGGCCCUACGGUCUGGCGCCGCGACGGGCGGGCGAUUUGCUUGUCACUCGUUGUCCGCCGAGUGCGUGACCGUGGGUCCACCGGCCCCCCGGUGACUCAGCCCCACACCUGCACCUGCACCUACACCUGCACCCUGAACUGGGAGGGUCCCUACCCGCCUGGUGUCGAUGCACUUCUCUGUGUGCUCUCUGAGCGUCCGUGUGCCCUGCCUGAAAUCGGGAUAAAGAAUGUGCCUGCGUCAGUGUAACGGCUGGAGGAAAUAACCAGCACAGCGCCUGGCCUGGAGAGAUAACACUGAGCUAAAAGAUGAUGACAAGUACUAAUAACUCUACUGUCUGUGGGGGAUCCUGCCCCAAGCAUCACUGAAGAACAGACACCACGGACUUUACGUGGCAGCAAGGUAAAAAGAAAUAGUUCUCUCAACUGGCAAGGCUCUUGGUCCUUCAGGUACGCUGCUUUCUCAGGCUAAUUUUAUAAGGAACGUAGGCCCCAGUGGUAACAUCUGCACAACUGUGCAAAGCCCUCUCCUGUGAACCCGCCAAAUCAUCCUGGUCCCAUGUUCUCAUGAUGAAAUUCAAAUCUACUCAUGACAACGGAGCAAACAAGGAAAGAGUCCAAACUGAUCAAAGGCAGGAAAGCAAAAACUACAUAAAUGAUGCAUCUAAUUCUAGAAGCCGACUCUUCACAGAAACCACUGGAACCAGUGCUGACUCAGAACAGUAAGACACGGUAUAAUUUAGAAGGCGAUUGUUUCUCCUAAUUGCAUAGGAAAUGGGUAUAAACAUGGAAUGCCCUGUUUAUGCCCAGAAUUGACUCUAAAGUGGAGUCUGUAGUAAGCAUUACAGAUUUGCCAUUUUAUUUCUCACCAAAGAUUGGAAAAACCAGAAUGCAAUUCUUUCCCUGACAUAUAUGUAAACUUACACAAUUUUAAAAUCCUCAAGCAAAAAUCAGGUCUUGGGAAGAAAAUGUGUCUACAUAGUGCACUGUCUUCAUUAAAGGACAGAAGGAGUCACAGGUGGCCCUGCCAUGAGGUGAAACAAAGAACCGGAACAAGCAAUACACCCAGACAGUUCCCGGGCAUCUGUAACAUCAGAAAACUUGAGUUUCCAAAAAUCCUCGACAGCCCAGAAAUUAAUAGCGUGGCCUCUGGAUUGUCCUGCUUGAGUCUGAAUGCCACAUCCCCCAAUUCCCACUGUGCCCGUGGCCGGCUCACUAUCUCCACACUUAAGCGUCCUCUCUGACAAAUGGGGCUAAUCAGGGUCUCCCUCCUAGGGUGGCUGCAGGAUCAAUGAGCUCACUUGCAUCAAGGGCUUACAACAGCUCCUGGCACAGAGUAAGUACUAUGUCUAUUUGCUGGUACUGUUAAUGUCACUUGGUCUUCGGUUAUUUUAUAAAGCUGACUCUCAGUUCCCUGGGUGUCUUCUCUUCAUCACUCUAUGGUUUUCAAUCUCCAGGGGCUUUGCUUGACGUGUAAGCCCUGCCCGUCCCCAUCCUCAUCAAGCGUCUUAUGAUCCUCAGAUGAGAGAGAUGAUCCCACAACUCAAACACACCUCUGCACUGGGAGCGAUUGCUCUUCCACACAGAUGGAACCUUCCUCAGCAAAAGUUCGAGUCAGAAGCACACAGAGCACAAAUCCUCCAGCCACUCCCCACAACCAGUAACUAGGUAUUCGAAAUGUAAGGAAGAGACCCCGGGGCAGAGACAGACCUGGGUUCCUCCCCAGCGCCACCUCCCAAAUAGCACGAGAGUAGAAACAAGGGGAGAGGUGCAGAAGGCCACCCUGUGCCUUGAAGUCACGUAGGGUGAAGGCCGCACACUUAACACGCUGCUCCCCACUCCAAGUUCCUAUGUAGCAUUUACAAAGGAAACAACUUGGAAGCUAUACAAUUCUUACCCAAAAAGACUCUACCUCCUUUACUAGAGAGAAUCUCAACUCUGUCAUAUUACCCUCAAAGCAGAACUUAAGCCUAAAACCCCGGGUGACCUAUGGUGCAAGAACUCACUUUGACCCCACUGGAAGGUAAACCUUGGUGGCUACACCUGUUCGGAUGGAUGACAGCCAGGAGAGGACAGAAGAGGCGGCAGGACAGAGAAGGGGCCCGCCUUCUGCUGGUCUCUGCAGAAAGAGCUCCUUUGCAACACGCCAGGUAAGUGAAGAGAACUGAGAUCAACCUCGGAAAACACGGGCAUGGGGCAUCUCUGAACUAAGGAUGAAGGUUAACCCGGACCAGCUUUGCAAAAUGGAGGGAGAAGCGUCAGCACUUCAAAAGGAUUUUGAGAAGAUGGACCUACGUGUAUAAACCUCAGAAGUCUACAAGAAGGGGAUCUGCCAGGCAGCUAGAACCAAAUACAGCCGCACGAUGAACAAGACAUUGUUCCCGCCACCGAAGCUGCUGGACGCACCAGGAUGCCUUACAGUGGGAACUGAGUGUGUGAGUAUGGAAAGACAUCUCUUCACAGUCUGGCCUCCUUGUUGCUUCUAAGAAGAAAAUGACCAGUAUUGGCAAAGUGUUCCUCCCAUGAAGACGCCUAUGAAAGCAUAGAAGGCAGUGGGAAAAUGAUGAAACUGCAAUAAAGUGGGACAAGGAAACGCUUUAAAAGGGAGAAAACAAUUAUCUGGAAUGAUGGAACGGAAGUUUCACAGAACGCAAGUUCAUUCAAAAGUCCUUUACAUUUGGCUUUAGAGCACACUGAUUCUUGUUGCAAUAAAGUCAACAGUUGUUGUUCUUAGUUCUAACAUUGAAACAGCUUUUCACACCUCGAGAAGUACUAACCAAGGAGGGAGACCUUCGGGAGGCAUGCUCCACGUUUGAGAGAAGCCAGGGCUGGUUCUAAGCCUUCAGUGCUCCCAUCACACGUGACUAGUUGAAGUGACUUAACCCCCCACACGUAUGUCUCUUUCACAGCUAGAAUUCCAACAGAAUCAGGGCUCCCAGCAGUUUCGGGGCCUUGGGAUCCCUCCCACUACAGCAAACGAUCAAGUGGGAAUGAGUUAUCACUUACAUUCUUU